AUGGGAUUUGGUCCCCCAAUUUUAUUGAGAUAAAAAGAUCAUGGGGUAUAUUUUGUGAGCUCAAGUGUGGCACUUCCAAACCUUGGGAAUAUAUGAGAAGAGGCCAAGAAAAGAAGGAAGCCAGCUAGCAGAAGCAUUAGCCAAGAUAGGAGCUAUAUCAGAAACUUAGUCAACUCACCCUGAGAUUGGAUCGACUAAAUUGAAGGUGGGUCAACUCAGUCUCAGACUAGAUCGACUAUAUCUCAGAGAAAAAAUCAGACAAAAAGCUGCAUUUUGGGAUAUUCAGACCAGCAUGCAGGUGAGUCGACUCGUCCUAUCUUGAGUCGACUUAGUCACAGAUGAGCCGACUCAAGUCUGAAACUGAGCCAACUUAGUGUCGCAGGCAAAAGUUGCACGAGAUUCUAUUUGGAUC
rnacentral:lncRNA from 1 species